rnacentral:rRNA from 1 species
AGAGUUUGAUCCUGGCUCAGAACGAACGCUGGCGGCAGGCCUAACACAUGCAAGUCGAACGCCCCGCAAGGGGAGUGGCAGACGGGUGAGUAACGCGUGGGAACAUACCUUUCGGUUCGGAAUAGCUCAGGGAAACUUGGAUUAAUACCGGAUACGUCCGCAAGGAGAAAGAUUUAUCGCCGAAAGAUUGGCCCGCGUCC